CUUUCUUUCUUUCUUUCUUCACAACAUACAUGCCCUUCCGCAUCAUAAAUCCUAGCAGGUUGUAGAGUAGGUAGGAACAGUCACAACAGCAGCAGAGAUUGUUCACCCAACUGUGGGGACAAGGAAGGGUUGUCCUUGCAUUAAGAACAAAAAGCUACCAUAAUGAAAGUAAAACUUAAGCAUCAAGAACAAAAAAUGUUUAAGUCCCAAUUUCAAUGUCCAACAGUUCUGAGUCCAAGUUUCAAUGUCCGACAGUUCCUUAUGUGUACAUGUCAGCAUACAUAAUGGGAAUAGAUAAGAGAGAUUUUGUGCAGUUCUCUCGCCUGUGCGCUCAUAAACAGAGCCUGGGAGGCCCCCACCAGGGCCUGGACACCUGUCCAACCUCUCCCAGCUUGCUCACUGCCCAGGUGACUUACUAGGGAAACAAGAGAAUUGAAUAAGACUGACACCUAUGGCUACACUUUUUUUUCUUAAAUUUUGUGAAUACUCUGUGGCUAGUAACCAGAGUCUCAACUCUUUGUGUCUAUACUCCUUUGUUUCAGGGUCCUUCGCUUUGAAUGAGCUGAAGAAAGAAACACUAGCUUCUGCAUGUCAGUAAGUCAACCUCUCCUGCAUGAGCAACAGCAGCAACUUUGGGACACACAAUGUUGGUUCCAAAUCACCAAUAUUUAUUGAGCUCCAACUAUGUGCUAGGCUCUUCUCAAGAUGGCCCAGACUCCUCCCAAGAGGUGCCUGGAAGAAUCAUGUGGACUCCUAAGAGCUGCGGGAAGAACUGGAGGUUAUCUUUGCCUAACUUGGGGAGAGCCAGUCUGAGAAUGAAUCUGACGCAGAGGAAAGUAGAGCUGAAGAAGACAGAGGGGACAGGGCCCUGAUGACCGUGUCUAGACACCUAGGUUCAAUGGUGCUCAGAGUCCAGGGGAGCAUGGGCUUUUCAGUUUAUUAUGCU